rnacentral:lncRNA from 1 species
UCAUGAUACCCAAUUAGGUGAAUAAAGAAAGGAUGAGAAUUAAUACAUCAAAUAAAUUUGCAUGAAUAUAAGAUAAUUGAUGCAGAAAAUAUAUUUACUUUUAUACUUUUAAGUCAGAGAAUAUCCAAAUAAUUAUAGUUUCCUUCGUCCAUAUAAAGUUUUGAUUUCAAAAUCAUGUAUACCAAGUCAGAUGUCACUAAUUUCUUAUUUCUGGAAAAUGAUAUUUUGACACCAAUUUUUUGAUACUAUUUUGACA